GAAAAUUUGAUCUAAGAUCCUAAGUGAAAAGAAAAAAGAACCUUCAUCAUGGCGGUGCCUGUGUUCUAGCAGUCUUUCUUCACACAAGAAUGCACCUCUUAUAAUAGAACUUCAAUAUGGGGGGAAAGAGGUUACAUCAGUUAUUAAAUGUGCUCACAAAGACUUUGAAUUGGAGGCACCCGACACAUUGCUGAUACUCUGUAUUCUUGGCAACAUCCUGAGCUUUGUAUAUGCAACCUUUACUCUGCAGCCAAGGACAAUCAAGUUUGUUAAAUUGCUUCAUGUUUUCAAGCAACGUUAUAAAGCAUUCUCGAGAAAAUUUUUCGGUCCGUCAUUCCUGACCUUUUUGAAACCAUGCCCCAGUAAGUAUUAAUACUGAUAAAAACCACAUUAUCUCUGUCAUUCACAGCAGAUACACAAACACAAGGUAACAAAACAUAGUUUCCGUGGUCCUUAUGACAUAUAAAUAUGACAAAAGUAGAAAUGAACUUUCUUUUUCAUGUGGAAGCAGAAUAAGCUCAUACAUUUUCUGGUAACAUUGACCCAUUCCUUGAAACUAUUCUAAUGAAA
rnacentral:lncRNA from 1 species